AAAAUGUUCCAUUAUACGUUUGAAAAAAAUAAGCCCAAUAUGACUUAUAUUGGGCAAUGCUCCAUCUUAGACGCGAAGCUGGUACCAGAGAGCAACAGCGUCGUUGCUAAUGCUGCAACAGGCGCGGAAUUGAUGCCGAAGAAAAAAUGGGGGCUGAUUUCGGGUUUUUUGGGUGAUUUCUUCCUAUUCAAAUCUAAUAUGCUUUAGCAAGAGUCUUGUGGUUGUUUUUUGUCGAUUGUUGGUGGUA
rnacentral:lncRNA from 1 species